ACUUACCACUAUGAACACGCCCGGUCUCGUCUGAUCUCGGAAGCUUAGCAUGGUUAGACCUCGUUAGUACUUUGAUGGGAGACCGCCUGGGAAUACCAGGUGCAUUAAGUG
rnacentral:rRNA from 10 species